rnacentral:rRNA from 1 species
GAUGAACGCUGGCGGCGUGCCUAAUACAUGCCAGUCGAGCGAACGGACGAGAAGCUUGCUUCUCUGAUGUUAGCGGCGGACGGGUGAGUAACACGUGGAUAACCUACCUAUAAGACUGGGAUAACUUCGGGAAACCGGAGCUAAUACCGGAUGAUAUUUUGAACCGCAUGGUUCAAAAGUGAAAGACGGUCUUGCUGUCACUUAUAGAUGGAUCCGCGCUGCAUUAGCUAGUUGGUAAGGUAACGGCUUACCAAGGCAACGAUGCAUAGCCGACCUGAGAGGGUGAUCGGCCACACUGGAACUGAGACACGGUCCUGACUCCUACGGGAGGCAGCAGUAGGGAAUCUUCCGCAAUGGGCGAAAGCCUGACGGAGCAACGCCGCGUGAGUGAUGAAGGUCUUCGGAUCGUAAAACUCUGUUAUUAGGGAAGAACAUAUGUGUAAGUAACUGUGCACAUCUUGACGGUACCUAAUCAGAAAGCCACGGCUAACUACGUG